GGAUGCUUGCUUUGAGUUCAUUAGAAGCUGGCCCAUUUGAACGGAUAGGUCAAACAGAGGAUGGAGCCUGCCUGUCCCCAGCGUGCCCUCUGCCCUGGCAGAAAGAAGGCUGAAACAAAACACUUCUUCGUGGGAUCACAUCCCCUAGUUGAAGAAGCCAAGGAUCUCUUGCUGGUGCCAUCUGUACAGCUCCGCGUUUGUUUCUGAGAGGCAUCUGUCUCUGUCAGUAGCAUCCCGUGGGCUUCACGCCUGGCCUCCACCCAGCCUCCAUCAGUCGUAGCUGAGAGGGUGACUGGUACCCUCCAGCUCCUCUCUGCUGGGAGUCAACAGGAUACUGGGAAAGAAGAGGGUGGGCUGUGCGUGUGGUGGGGAAGAUCUUGCUGUAAGUGUGGCUUCAGAGACUUCUGUUCAGUAUUAAAAUUUGUAAACGGAGGCAGUUUGGUAUUAGCACAAUGUAAUUAGAAAAAGUUUAUCAGUCGGAACAUCGAGUCGGAAAGGAAAUUAAACUCUUUUAAGCUGCC
rnacentral:lncRNA from 7 species